UGGGGAAUCUUGCACAAUGGGCGGAAGCCUGAUGCAGCGACGCCGCGUGGGGGAUGACGGCCUUCGGGUUGUAAACUCCUUUCGCCAGGGACGAAGCCGUGAGGUGACGGUACCUGGAUAAGAAGCACCGGCUAACUACGUGCCAGCAGCCGCGGUAAUACGUAGGGUGCGAGCGUUGUCCGGAAUUACUGGGCGUAAAGAGCUCGUAGGUGGUUUGUUGCGUCGUCUGUGAAAUUCCGGGGCUUAACUCCGGGCGUGCAGGCGAUACCGGGAAAACUUGGGUGCUGGAGGGGGAACUGGAAAUCCUGGGGGAGCGGGGAAAUGCGGAGGUAUCAGGAGGGACACCGAUGGGGAAAGGAGGUCUCUGGGGAGUAACUGACGCUUAGGAGCGAAAGGAUGGGUAGCGAACAGG
rnacentral:rRNA from 1 species